rnacentral:rRNA from 1 species
CAGCCGUAAACUAUGCUCGCUAGGUGUCAGGCAUGGCGCGACCGUGUCUGGUGCCGCAGGGAAGCCGUGAAGCGAGCCACCUGGGAAGUACGGCCGCAAGGCUGAAACUUAAAGGAAUUGGCGGGGGAGCACAACAACGGGUGGAGCCUGCGGUUUAAUUGGACUCAACGCCGGACAACUCACCGGGGACAACAGCAAUAUGUAGGCCAGGCUGAAGACCUUGCCUGAAUCGCUGAGAGGAGGUGCAUGGCGUCAGUGACU